CCUACGGGUGGCAGCAGUAGGGAAUAUUGCUCAAUGGGGGAAACCCUGAAGCAGCAACGCCGCGUGGAGGAUGAAGGUUUUAGGAUUGUAAACUCCUUUUGUGAGAGAAGAUAAUGACGAUAUCUCACGAAUAAGCACCGGCUAACUCCGUGACAGCAGCCGCGGUAAUACGGCGGGUGCAAGCGUUACUCGGAAUCACUGGGCGUAACGAGUGCGCAGGCGGGCUGGUAUGUCAGAUGUGAAAUCCUGUAGCUUAACUACAGAACUGCAUUUGAAACUAUGAGGCUAGAGUGUGGGAGAGGUAGGUGGAAUUCUUGGUGUAGAGGUAAAAUGCGUAGAGAUCAAGAGGAAUACUCAUUGCGAAGGCGACCUACUGGAACAUUACUGACGCUCAUGCACGAAAGCGUGGGGAGCAAACAGGAUUAGAUACCCCUGUAGUC
rnacentral:rRNA from 1 species